ACCGAAAUAGCUCAGUUGGGAGAGCGUUAGAUAGUUAAUCGAAAAGUCCCUGGUUCUAUCCCGGGUUCCGGCA
rnacentral:tRNA from 1 species